rnacentral:lncRNA from 1 species
GCUUAAGGUUCUCUUAGUGUUUCUUGCACUUUAUAAUAGUUUAAGCCUUUUUUUCUGGUUUUUGUAGGUUCUUGUUUGUUUGUUUUGAGACAGAGUUCAGCUCUGUCACCAGGCUGCAGUGCAGUGGCUCAGUGUCGGCUCACUGCAAACUCCACCUCCCAGGAUCAAGUGAUUCUCCUGCCUCAACUUCUGGGUAGCUGGGAGCACAGGUGUGUGCCACUACAUUCAGGCUGGAGUGCAGUGGCACUAUCUUAGCUCACUGCAACCUCUACCUCUCAGAUUCAGCCAUUGUCCCUAGG